rnacentral:rRNA from 1 species
CGAAUUCGCCCUUCCUACGGGAGGCAGCAGUGGGGAAUAUUGCGCAAUGGGCGGAAGCCUGACGCAGCGACGCCGCGUGGGGGAUGACGGCCUUCGGGUUGUAAACCUCUUUCGACCUUGACGAAGCCUUUCGGGGUGACGGUAGGGGUAGAAGAAGCACCGGCCAACUACGUGCCAGCAGCCGCGGUAAUACGUAGGGUGCGAGCGUUGUCCGGAAUUAUUGGGCGUAAAGAGCUCGUAGGCGGUCUGUCGCGUCGGUCGUGAAAACUUGGGGCUUAACCCUGAGCUUGCGGUCGAUACGGGCAUGACUGGAGUUCGGCAGGGGAGACUGGAAUUCCUGGUGUAGCGGUGAAAUGCGCAGAUAUCAGGAGGAACACCGGUGGCGAAGGCGGGUCUCUGGGCCGAUACUGACGCUGAGGAGCGAAAGCGUGGGGAGCGAACAGGAUUAGAUACCCUGGUAGUCCACGCCGUAAACGGUGGGCGCUAGGUGUGGGGGCCAUUCCACGGUCUCUGUGCCGCAGCUAACGCAUUAAGCGCCCCGCCUGGGGAGUACGGCCGCAAGAUUAAAACUCAAAGGAAUUGACGG